rnacentral:rRNA from 1 species
CCUACGGGUGGCAGCAGUGGGGAAUAUUGCACAAUGGGGGAAACCCUGAUGCAGCGACGCCGCGUGAGUGAAGAAGUAAUUCGUAAUGUAAAGCUCUAUCAUCAGGGAAGAAAAUGACGGUACCUGAGUAAGCAGCCCCGGCUAACUACGAGCCAGCAGCCGCGGUAAUACGUAGGGGGCAAGCGUUAUCGGGAUUUAUGGGGGGUAAAGGGAGCGUAGGCGGUUGUGCAAGUCUGGAGUGAAAGGCGGGGGUUCAACCGUGGGAGUGCGCUGGAAACUGGAAGGCUGGAGUGCAGAAGAGGAAAGUGGAAUUCCAAGUGUAGCGGUGAAAUGCGUAGAGAUAAGGAGGAACACCAGUGGCGAAGGCGACUUACUGGACUGUAACUGACGUUGAGGUGCGAAAGCGUGGGGAGCAAACAGGAUUAGAUACCCGAGUAGUC